GAGGGUUAAAUAGCAAAAUUGAUAUAAUUCCAAAUACAAUCUGGGGAAGAGAACACAAAAGUUUGGAAAUGGUAGCCAAGAGCCCCGUCCUUUUCUUCAAAACUCCAAAACCAAAAUCAAUGGGGAUUCUCUGCCCCCCAUUUGUAAUGUGAUUUAAAAUCCCACCACCAGACCCACCAACAAAUAAUGGUACAGACAGGGAGAAAAGCAAGCAAUCGUUUUAGUGGAUAAAUAAAUUUGAAGAUGGAACUGUGUUUGUCCUAAUUGUAAGCACCUCUUCAACUACUGUUUGUGCAUGGAUCCAACCUUGUUGGGUAUAUCAAUAUCAUGGGACUUGCUCUUUGCUCUUGGCCUCAACUCAAAUUAAUUUGCCCCACUUGUUUAUGUGCAUCACAUUAUUACAACUCCACCAUCAUGUUACAUGCCUGCUCUGAUGGAGAGUUGAUGCCUCCCCUCCUGGCUUGUUAUCGUAUGUCCUCUAGUGUUUCUAAUUUUGGAUUUUGCCAAAGCG
rnacentral:lncRNA from 1 species